rnacentral:rRNA from 1 species
AUGCGCCUUCAUGGGUGGGUUCAGGACCACAAAGUGCUGAUGCUUGUGGACUCUGGCUCCUCACGCAGCUUCAUCUGCGAGAGUCUAGCUGAGCACUUGCAAGGUGUGGAGGCGUGCAAAAGCACUAUGGCUGUCAGAGUGGCAAAUGGCGGAGUGAUGAAGUGCAACAGGGAGUUGCCGGCCUGUCCUUGGCGCACGCAAGGGGUAACCUUCCACACCGACCUUAAGGUCCUCCCCUUGGGCUGCUACGACGUCUUUUUGGGCAUCGACUGGCUCGCCCAGCACAGCCCAAUGAGUGUGCACUGGAAGGAGAAGACCAUGAAGUUUGACCAUGGCGGCACACAAGUCCAACUGCACGGAGCUCGAGCGGAUACUACACAAUGCCAGCAACUAUCCGGAGAUGAUCUAAACCAGCUCCUCCAGCGCUCGGGCGUGGCGCGUGUCGUUCAUCUUUGUGCGACGACUGUGGAGGGAGUCAAAGUUACAGAGCUGCCAGUGCCUGCGGACGUUGCCGACCUGCUCCGAGACUACCAACACUUGUUUGAGGAGCCACGCGGGUUACCUCCCCGACGCGCCUUCGACCAUGCCAUUCCUCUUCUGCCUGGAGCGAAGCCGGUCAAUGUCAGGCCAUACCGCUACAGUCCGGCCCAGAAGGAUGAAGUGGAACGGCAGGUGGCAGACAUGCUGGCCCAGGGCAUUAUUGUGCCCAGUUCGAGUCCCUUCGCGUCGCCAGUCCUGCUGGUUCAGAAGAAGGACUUGACUUGGCGCUUUUGUGUCGACUACCGGCACCUGAACGCGGUGACCGUGAAGAAUCGAUUCCCCUUGCCAGUCAUCGAUGAGCUCCUUGAUGAGCUUGCGGGCGCCAAGUUCUUCACCAGCCUCGACUUGCGCUCGGGGUACCACCAGAUUCGCAUGAGACCCGAAGACGAGCACAAAACGGCAUUCAAGACCCACAACGGCCACUACGAGUUCCGGGUUCUCUCCUAUGGCCUUACGGGUGGCCCGUCAACGUUCCAAGGGGGGAUGAAUAUCAUGAUGGCACCCUCAGCCGACACGGAGUCCUAG